rnacentral:rRNA from 1 species
AACGCGAAGAACCUUACCUGCCCUUGACAUAUAGAGGAGUCUUUAGAGAUAGAGAUGUGCCGAGAGGAGCUCUAAUACAGGUGCUGCAUGGCUGUCGUCAGCUCGUGUCGUGAGAUGUUGGGUUAAGUCCCGUAACGAGCGCAACCCUUAUACUUAGUUGCCAACAGGUAGAGCUGGGAACUCUAGGUAGACUGCCGGUGUUAAACCGGAGGAAGGCGGGGACGAUGUCAAGUCAUCAUGGCCCAUACGGGCAGGGCUACACACGUGCUACAAUGGCUAGUACAGAGGGCGGCGAAGUCGUGAGAUGGAGCAAAUCCUUAAAAGCUAGUCGUAGUCCGGAUUGAAGUCUGCAACUCGACUUCAUGAAGUCGGAAUCGCUAGUAAUCGCAAAUCAGCAUGUUGCGGUGAAUACGUUCCCGGGUCUUGUACACACGCA